AGUGAACGCUGGCGGUAGGCCUAACACAUGCAAGUCGAACGGCAGCACAGUAAGAGCUUGCUCUUACGGGUGGCGAGUGGCGGACGGGUGAGGAAUACAUCGGAAUCUACUUUUUCGUGGGGGAUAACGUAGGGAAACUUACGCUAAUACCGCAUACGACCUACGGGUGAAAGCAGGGGAUCUUCGGACCUUGCGCGAUUGAAUGAGCCGAUGUCGGAUUAGCUAGUUGGCGGGGUAAAGGCCCACCAAGGCGACGAUCCGUAGCUGGUCUGAGAGGAUGAUCCGCCAAACGGGAACGGAGACACGGUCCAGCCCCCCAGGGGAGGCGGGAGUGGGGAAUUUGGAGAAAGGGGCGAAAGCCUGACCCAGCCAUCCGGGGGGGGGGAAGAAGGCCUUCGGGUUGUAAAGCCCUUUUGUGGGGAAAAAAAAGCAGCAGGUUAAUACCCCGCUGUUUUGACGGUACCAAAAAAAAAAGCACCGGCUACCUUCGU
rnacentral:rRNA from 1 species